UACGGAGGGUGCAAGCGUUGUUCGGAAUUAUUGGGCGUAAAGGGCAGGUAGGUGGUCUUGAAGUCUGCUGUGAAUCCCCGGGCUUAACUCGGGAAGUGCGGCAGAUACUCCAAGACUAGAGUGCUGGAGGGUUCGUGGAAUUCCCGGUGUAGCGGUGAAAUGCGUAGAGAUGUGGAGGAAUACCGAUGGCGAAGGCAGCCCCUGGGCCAAUACUGACGCUCAUGCACGAAAGCGUGGGGAGCAAACAGG
rnacentral:rRNA from 1 species